GUAAAAAUAGAUAAAUAAAAUUCAAAUCCCGCAGAUAUUUGCAGAGGAAAGAGAAGCCAAGCGAAGCUCGUGUCCUUUCUCUGGCAGCUUAGACAUAGCACAAUCACAAGCUCCACUCUAGGGUUUCGCUCUUUACUUUCUCUUCACCACUAACUCUAAUUUAAUGUGAUCAAUGCGUGGAGGUGUUACCAAGUUCAGUCAAACUGUCAAAGUAGCUGGUGUAAAUGGGUUUCCAAUGGCAUUUGAUCCUUCCACUGGAUCAAUAGCACACUAAUCAGUUCAAUAUUGAAUAGUUUUGAAGUGGAGAAAUUUUCAAUAUAUUCUGGGAUUGCAGAGGAAUAAAUAAACCAUUGACUAGUUCAAGAAAGGGAAAGGAUGUUCCACCUCAUGUUUUACUAGAUACACCAAUGCCCAUUUGACGUCAACAACAAAUAUUGAAGAAAAUCAGUGCAAUACACACUGUAGCUUUGAUCUACUUUUGGGGUGGCCAAUGGUUGAGUGUUUUGAAAUAUUUAUGAGAUGGAUUAAAUCUUAUAAAUUUUGUUAUAAGAGCUAUACGAUUUCGAUCUUCAUGGAUUUUGGAGAAUAGACAUAGCCUUUGGAAGAUUCUUUGGAAGAGCUAGAGUCUUAUAUUUGCUUAUUUGAAGAUUGAAAUCUGUUGAAAUGGAUUUGACAUCAAUUUUGAGGCCUUGGCAGAUGUUCUCUCUAAUUAUUGAAUCAGUUAGUACAGAUGACCAAGAAGACUAUUUCUAAAAGAUUAUAGAUCAUUAAAAAUUAUCAGGCUGUAUCUGACAUUACACAAGGAAGACUUGAUGGUAUAAACAAACAUUAUGGAGCUUUACUAGGUGUUUGUCACAUCUAAGUGAUAGUUAGUCGAAUAUGGUUGAAUUUUUUUUUCAAUUCAACCAUAUAAGUGUAUCCUUUCCUUAGGAUUUGACAUAACCCGAUAGGUAAUUCAUUUAACUACCAUGCAUCUUCCACACCAUCAAUUAUCCUGGUUAUCAUUUCCUCUUGACUUUGACCACCACUGUCAAUGUUUGCUCUUUAAAUUUUUCUUUAUCGUUAAUUUUGUGUCACUGGGGAAGGCUUACAUCUUCGAGUUACCUGACUGGCAGUUAAAAGGUUACUUUCAAGUAUUUGUGACCCUCAUCACUGGAAGAAGUUUGCCCCCUAUUAAUUUCUAUAGAAGUCAUUGGGUUAUUUUAAUUUAAAUUUUCUGAAUAUAUUUGAAUAAUUAUUUAAAAUGAUUUUUGGGAAUUACAGAGGCAAUCAUUAUCCCACAAGUAGCCUAUUCGCAUUGUAAUAUGGUAAAUAAGGGUUAGCAUUAUUGAUUGAUUAUACUAUUAGGCGUUAUACCCAACUGGCAUUCAGUCGUAACCAAAUCUAUUUUCAUGGACCUAAAAUAGUUUUUAUGUUUGCGUGUGGAUAUUUUAAGUCAGUAAAUUUUUCUAUAUUUAUGAUUACAAGUUCGGCUCGUUCUUGCUUUGAAAAAAGUGGUAUAUCUCCCAAUUUUGAAUUUUAACUUCGGACCUCGCUUGAAGUAAACUUGGUAAAUAAGAUGUGAAAGUUGUGAUAACGAGUGAAAGGUUGAAAUUUUAAUUUUCGCAUUGCUAGUAAGAGAAGAUGGGAAACCAAAGGAGCUUCAAUUCACUAGUGCUUAUUUGGUUUGAAAUUCAAAAAAGGACUAGAAAUAUCUACAACUUCUCUCCAUUUAUUAUAAUUUUUAAAGCAAAACAUGAAGGUGUAAACAAAAUUUAUUUUUCCCAUAUUUUUUUAUAUCAUUUUUUUGUGUGGAAAUGUAUAAUUUCUAACUGAAUUCCUUAAGGCUUAAGAGCGGAGGAUUGCCCUAGUUUUACAGGGACUUUUUGGCUAGGUACAAGGCGUGUUCUGUUUUGAUCCGCUAAACUAUACGAGACAACACAACACAAAAAGUAUUUUUAGCCGUUUGAUUUAAAAAUUUAGUGAGAAGGCACAAUAUAGGGGAUGGAGGACAAAACAAAAUUAUUAAAAGUUAUACUAAGAGAAGUAUAUGUUCAGUGCAUAACUCAACUCUUGCAUGAGAUUAUCUUAACAAAAUCUUUAUGUGGUUUUGUAAUAGUAUUCUAUUUGUAAUCGUCGUGACUACCGUUUAUAGUGAUGACCUUUGGCAUUUCAUUUACAUCAAAACAAUGAGUUUUUAUAUGAAACUGAAGGUGAUAAAAUGCUUGGAACUACUGUACCACUUUACCAGAUAUCAUAUAUUGAUUUAUCCUCUGAAAAAAUUGUGAUAAAUUCAUUUUCAACCCUUACCUUUCAUAUAUACCAAGCACAUUCUACUAUGCGAUUUGAAAAACACCUAUACCUUCAUUUCUGGUGCUGGUAGAAAAUGGUUUGGCUGUUCCAUUGGUUCAUUAAUCUAAUCUGGGUAUCGCACUUUGGAGGUCUUGGUCCAAAGCUUAACAGACAAUACCCUACACCCUCAAAAAUGAUACGCUGUUUUUAGUAAUCUUUAUCUAGAGGAUAGAAAGAUAUCAAAGCAACUUGUGGAGAAUUUCCAAUUCCAAGUCAGAUCAAGUGGAUUUGACUAUACAACUGAAUUGUUUCUGUAGUCAAUUGUAUCCAGAUGAAGUGCUGGAAUUUUCAGUAAGUGGUUUCUGUCUCAAACAUUUUUGGGAUUAGAUAAUUUUACUUUUUUUUUUUCUGUUCAUGUGUUACAUAUCCGAGUCCGAGACGUAAUUAAUCACGAUCACAGUAAGUAGAAAAGACAAUGACUGAAUAAUAAUGACUAAUGAAUUUCUUUUAUUGAUGGUAAUAUCUGAAUAAACAAAAGUAAACAAGGGUAUUUGGGAGCCUCCUUCAAUUACUUGAGAGCAUAACCUCCCUCAGAGGAGCAUAGCCGCCUGUCAACAAGACUCAAUAAUCAAAAGCAUGCCCUAAACAAUAGCAUCUAGCUUUAUUUAUAUUAAAUAUUUUCCUAGAAAAUAAUUUUAUUUACUAUAAUUAACUUAUACUAAAUAUUUCCGUAGGAUAUAAUUCUAUUUACUCUAUUUAACUUAUACUAAAUAUUUUUCUAGGAUAUAAUUCUAUUUACUAUAAUUAACUUAUACUGAAUAUUUCCCUAAGAUGUAGUUCUAUUUAUUAUAAUUAAUUUAUAUUGAAUAUUUUCCUAGGAUAUGACCUUAUUUACUAUAAUUAUUUCUCCCCCAUCCUAACUGUUGUCCUAGUUAGGAUAGUCACUCUUCAACCGAUCGAUUCCAGCUCUUCACCGCCUUUCGUUUGGUUUUGCUCCCCCUUACCUCCUACUGUUCGGCUCCAACGCUUCACCGCCUUCCACCGUUCGACUUACUUCCCUUUGCCUCCUACCGUUCGGUUCCCCUGCCUUCUAUCCUAUUACCCAAUAUCCUAUCACCAUGUUUCUUUGAUUGGUGCUUCUUACGUUUCCUUUUUCCAUGUUUGUUGGAGGAUUUGGAUCCUCCUGCCUUAUAUUGUUCUUUUCUAUUGAUUCAUUUCUGUUGAAAAUGGUCACUUGUAAAUGUUUUGAACGGUUCAUUUGAAGUUAGAUUAAGACUUGUAUUAACUCUUUCCACCACUUAGAUGGACCUAUGGAACCCCCUUUAAGGGGCCCUAGGGCCUGGCGCAGAUGGAAGAGAGUUAGAAUAGGACUGUUAUUAACUCUUCCAACUGAACACAUUGGUACAAUAGAACACUGCAUUUGUCAAAGUGAAGCAUUACUUUUUUGGUAAGUGAGAUGAGUGGAAGUGGCAAAAAGCGCUCUUCAAAGUGGGAUUUUAGAGUUGAUCCUGAAUUUUCACCUGAUGUUAGUAAGCAAUUACGACCUGGGUGCUCCU